rnacentral:rRNA from 1 species
GACAGAGGGUGCAAACGUUGUUCGGAUUUACUGGGCGUAAAGCGCGUGUAGGCGGCUAAGUGUGUCGGGCGUGAAAUCCCACGGCUCAACCGUGGAAGUGCACCCGAAACUACGUAGCUAGAGUCCUGGAGAGGAAGGUGGAAUGCUUGGUGUAGAGGUGAAAUUCGUAGAUAUCAAGCGGAACACCGGUGGCGAAGGCGGCCUUCUGGACCGGUAUUGACGCUGAGGCGCGAAAGCCAGGGGAGCAAACGGG